CUUUACGGAAGUACGUUCUGUAUAAAUUCGACGUUCCGCAACAUUUAAAACGUGGGACAAUUAUGGAGCAUCAGCAAUCUGAUUUCAAUAAGUGCAUGUGGGUAUACAGACAGGCGCCUUCUUAUAUACCUCGGGGAUACGUGUCCUUGCGCGCAUAAUUUGCAGUUUAAUGAAAAGCAUGACAUUUUAUUGUAUAUGGAACCCUUCUUUGCCGAUUAUUUUAUAUGGGCGUUUAUAAGUAAUAAGCCGACCGCAGAAAACAUAGUCUACAUCAGAGUUGGACCCCGAUAUCAAACCUCAAUGGAGGAUUGCCUUCAUCAUCAUCAUGGUUAAACGGUCGCAAGCGCCGUAGCUUUAUUAUUAUAAUACCUAUAAUAUCUUAGAUUUAUUGAUGGGAAGUAGGUAGAGGAUAAUGCCGUUGCGAUAAAUAAGAUAACAUUGUGAAUAUUAUGUAUUACACCAACUUUAGCUAUAUCUAUAUUAAGAAAAGGCUUAUCAUAUAACCUUCAUAUCGAUGUGUUAUUAAUUCCUGCAAUCAAAGUGCUAGGAUAUGAAUUUUUAUUACUCUAGUUAGAAUAGUGCUGUUAUAUAAACUCUCACAAAUUUUGAUAAUUUUUCUUGGAUUUAAGUUUAUAUGGUGAUAAUACCCGUGCUAAGGCAGACUUCUUAAUCCCAAACAGGAUAGAGAUGGACGUUGGGUGGGAGGAGGUGCCUCAAGACUUGUUUACGGGAGAAAGGAAGCUAACUUUAUGUACUGUUAAUAUCUGUGAUACGACACGCUUCUUAAAUCAAAUUGAUACACUUGAGCAGUACCUUCAUAAUACGUGUAAGCGUACGAUUUAAAACAGAUGUGUUAUUAAUUCUAGCAAUCAAAGUUAUAGGAUAUAAAUUUUUUAUAGCUCGAGUUAAUGUAAUGCUAUAGAUUUCGCUGCUGUUUAAAGUUUCACAAGUUUUCGCAAUUUUUCUUGGGAACUAAGUUUAUGUGCUGAUAAUAUCUGUGAUAAGGCAAGCUUCUUAAUUCCAAACUAGGAUAGAGAUGCUUCUGGCGCCUUAAGACUUUUUACGAGAGAAAGGAUAACACCGUAUAGCAUUAUGGAUAAAUACCUAACCACUGCAUCUUACUAUUUUAGGUAAGAGCUUAGAACACGGAUACAAUCAUAAUCUAUGCAGUGGGGCGGAUAAGAAAAACAGAACAAAAUUUAACAGGUUUAUUAAUUCU